rnacentral:rRNA from 1 species
UACGUAGGGGGCAAGCGUUGUCCGGAUUUAUUGGGCGUAAAAGGCUUGUAGGUGGCCACGCCAAGUCGGAUGUGAAAUCUCCCGGCUCAACUGGGAGGGGUCAUUCGAUACUGGCGGGCUCGAGGCCGGUAGGGGGAAGUGGAAUUCCCGGUGUAGUGGUGAAAUGCGUAGAUAUCGGGAGGAACACCAGUGGCGAAGGCGACUUCCUGGCCUGUUCUUGACGCUGAGGCGCGAAAGCUAGGGGAGCAACGGG